rnacentral:rRNA from 1 species
GAUGAACGCUGGCGGCGUGCCUAAUACAUGCAAGUCGAGCGAACAGACGAGGAGCUUGCUCCUCUGACGUUAGCGGCGGACGGGUGAGUAACACGUGUAUAACCUACCUAUAAGACUGGUAUAACUUCGGGAAACCGGAGCUAAUACCGGAUAAUAUAUUGAACCGCAUGGUUCAAUAGUGAAAGUCGGUUUUUCUGUCACUUCUAGAUGGAUCCCCGCCGCAUUAGCUAGUUGGUAAGGUAACGGCUUUCCAAGGCAACGCUGCGUAGCCGACCUGAGGGGGUGAUAGGCCACACUGGAACUGAGACACGGUCCAGACUCCUACGGGAGGCAGCAGUAGGGAAUCUUCCGCAAUGGGCGAGAGCUUGACGGAGCAACGCCGAGUGAGUGAUGAAGGCCUUCGGAUCGUAAAAACCUGUUAUUAGGGAAGAACAAAUGUGUAAGUAACUAUGCACGUCUUGACGGUAACUAAUCAGAAAGCAACGGCUAACUACGUG